rnacentral:rRNA from 1 species
AGGCAGCAGUGGGGAAUAUUGCACAAUGGGGGAAACCCUGAUGCAGCCAUGCCGCGUGUGUGAAGAAGGCCUUCGGGUUGUAAAGCACUUUCAGUAGGGAGGAAGGUAGUGUAGUUAACACCUGCAUUAUUUGACGUUACCUACAGAAGAAGCACCGGCUAACUCCGUGCCAGCAGCCGCGGUAAUACGGAGGGUGCGAGCGUUAAUCGGAAUUACUGGGCGUAAAGCGCAUGCAGGCGGCCUGUUAAGUCAAAUGUGAAAGCCCCGGGGCUUAACCUCGGAAUUGCAUUUGAAACUGGCAGGCUAGAGUCUUGUAGAGGGGGUAGAAUUUCAGGUGUAGCGGUGAAAUGCGUAGAGAUCUGAAGGAAUACCAGUGGCGAAGGCGGCCCCCUGGACAAAGACUGACGCUCAGAUGCGAAAGCGUGGGGAGCAAACAGGAUUAGAUACCCUGGUAG